GUCGGCUGAGGAAGAGAACUUGUCUGUGGUCGGUGGUGGAGAGAUGAAGAAGACCGUGGCUGAGGGGAGAAAGGGAAACGAAAUGGCCGGGGAUGAAGGUGCCAAAAAUGGCAGAGGGGCCGCCGGCUGACUUUUGUUGCCUGGGAGCUGGGUUUCUCUGGAGAUGGUUUUGGGAAUGAAACCAGAGGACGAUGAGGGCGGCCGGUUCUGAAUUUUUUUGGAGGAGAAGGCUGCGAAGUCUUGGAAAAAUGGGGAAACUUUUCUGUGAGUUGGAGGAUGGGAUCGAUGAGGAUGGAG
rnacentral:lncRNA from 1 species